AACGCGUGGGAAUCUGCCCUUGGGUACGGAAUAACUCAGAGAAAUUUGUGCUAAUACCGUAUAAUGUCUUCGGACCAAAGAUUUAUCGCCCAAGGAUGAGCCCGCGUAAGAUUAGCUAGUUGGUGGGGUAAAAGCCUACCAAGGCGACGAUCUUUAGCUGGUCUGAGAGGAUGAUCAGCCACACUGGGACUGAGACACGGCCCAGACUCCUACGGGAGGCAGCAGUGGGGAAUAUUGGACAAUGGGCGAAAGCCUGAUCCAGCAAUGCCGCGUGAGUGAUGAAGGCCUUAGGGUUGUAAAGCUCUUUUACCCGGGAUGAUAAUGACAGUACCGGGAGAAUAAGCUCUGGCUAACUCCGUGCCAGCAGCCGCGGUAAUACGGAGGGAGCUAGCGUUGUUCGGAAUUACUGGGCGUAAAGCGCGCGUAGGCGGUUUUUUAAGUCAGAGGUGAAAGCCCAGUGCUCAACACUGGGACUGCCUUUGAAACUGGAAAACUUGAAUCUUGGAGAGGUCAGUGGAAUUCCGAGUGUAGAGGUGAAAUUCGUAGAUAUUCGGAAG
rnacentral:rRNA from 1 species